rnacentral:lncRNA from 1 species
CCGCGUCCCACGGAAGGAACCGAUAGAAGAACAGCACCCACGGCGCGGUCACGAGCAGCGACCCGCGCUCGAUCGCGCGUCGCACGGACGCCGCCGCGUCGAUCCCCGGCGGCGGCGACAUCGCGCGCGCGGCGACGCCGACGCCUGCGGGCCGUUCCAUACGAGCGAAUGUCGGGGUGGAGUUGAAAGGCGUCAGGUGGAGUUGAAAGGCGCCGAGGGCGGGGAUUGAAAGCGAGGGGUGCGCGGAGAGAUGCGCCGGGCAAAGUCCUUAAGGAUCGGCGUUUACCACGCGAACGCGGUCGUAUGGGGACCAGUGCGAGAUAGAACGCGCCUGAGGCGCCGGCGCCGAAGGACAGCACGCCCAACACGCCGCCGACCGCGCGCGCGGCGAGCAUGCGCUCCGUGACGCCGCCGCCGCUGUCACCGUCGAUCGACCGCGACCGCGACCGCGCGCCGCCGAAGAGCGACGCGACGCCGCG